rnacentral:lncRNA from 1 species
GAUCCUCCAAAACAGCUCAAGUUUGGUCAAACUCACAGAGGCCCCUGAGCCCCAGCGAGGCUGUGCAGGUGG